UACGUAGGUGGCAAGCGUUGUCCGGAUUUAUUGGGUUUAAAGGGUGCGUAGGCGGCUUUGUAAGUCAGUGGUGAAAUAUGGCAGCUUAACUGUCAAGGUGCCAUUGAUACUGCAGAGCUUGAGUACAGAUGAGGUAGGCGGAAUUGACGGUAUAGCGGUGAAAUGCUUAGAUAUCGUCAAGAACACCUAUAGCGAAGGCAGCUUACUAAGCUGUAACUGACGCUGAGGCACGAAAGUGUGGGGAUCAAACAGG
rnacentral:rRNA from 1 species